rnacentral:rRNA from 1 species
AACUCGUUCAAACUACAGUGGUCACACCAGAUCCCAUCAGAACUCUGAAGUUAAGCACUGUUAGGCUUGGUUAGUACUGAGGUGGGAGACCGCUCGGGAACCCUAAGUAAUGAGUUU